AUGCGUUCAUUGGCCGAGGUGCCUGUCUUCGCAUGCAAAAAGCUUUUCCCAAUCCGCUCCACGCACUCGCGCCCAAUCCCAUCCUCUCCCGUCCUGCUCCACACUAGCCGCCACACAACCCUAGCCCAUUACCCAUCGAUCCCCACAGCCCCUCCCUCCGCCUCGCUACUGGCCAUGGCCUCCGCCCUAGGAGCCUCUCCGUGGCCUCCUACUCCCCCUACACUACCGUACGUGCACACAGACGACGGUGCCGGAGAAGAGCAGCUCCAGUCAUGGUGGGGUGCGGCUGCGACGGAGAUGAAGGAGGUCCGCCGCCCGCCUUUGUCUCCUUGCUGCUCUUUGUUGCCGAUCCUCCUCUCUCCCUUCACCCCUAGCAGCGCAACAGCUGGGGACAAGGGGAAGGAGCAGGUCGACCCGACCUCAUCUCUAUGCACGAGGACUAGAGGAGCAGGUAGCGAGGGAAACCGGCAUGGCCAGCGGCAGCGCUGCACAGGGACGUCCGCCUCCGGUUUUCUGUCAUGUGUCCCAAUCCCCUUUUGUUUAGGUGUGUUCUUUUUCCUCUUGGCCAGAUCUGCUCACAUGUUUGGGGUUUCAUGCUGUAGGGAUAAGAUUUGGUGCGGGAGUGCCAUUUAUGUGGUGCAGGAGAAUGUCGAUGUUAAAUCAUUUAGUUCUGAUGGAUCAUAUUAUUGGUUCUUUGUUCAACUGAAAAUUUCUUCAGAUAGGACUAAGAUGUUGAUGAUAUUUGAGACGCCCGCUGGAUUCACCCUUUUCGAGGAUCUGAACAAGGGCAAGCUCGACAAGGUCGAGCCUAGACAACACUACAGGUACUAUGCAAUUGCUGACCUAUAUAUCCCAGGACAGGGUAUACAGAUAGCUCCUGACCUUGCCAGAGGUACACGCGCAUUGUACCAAUAA
rnacentral:rRNA from 1 species